CUCCUCCUCCCUUUACCGGGGUGAAGCUGAGGCUCAGUGCCCAUCUCCUCAAUGCCUUCUGAAACAGAAUUAUGGGCUGGAGCAUGCAAACUGGCUGGCUGAUUCAGUGAGGUCCAUUCCCUCCGACGGCGAAGAUACGCGGCGAAUCUCCAGAAAUCAAAACUCCGUAGCCCUUCCAUCUCACAUUGAGGCAGAGGAUCGUCGAGGCAGCAAUUACACAAAUCCUUCAAAGCCGCGUCAUUGUAACCCAGCCCCACCGCCAUCGUCCAAAAGACCUUAGCAAAGCAUCCUACCUCCCACCCCUCCUGGCGUAGAGCCCUCAACGCCCGUAGUUGAUCCCAGCGCUCCCUGGUAGUGGCUGGAGGAAGGAUUCGGAACCCCACACUGCUGGAUCCUUGCAUGGGUGGUUUGUUCUGUCACGGUUGCACACAGAAACAAGAUGGUAAGAUCCAAGUGCAGUGAGGUUUAUUAAAGGGAACUCCAAACACGUAAUCCAAGACACAGGCAAAGGUAAACUCCACAAAAACAGUCCAUAAAACAGAAAGCCAGAGAACUAAAGUGCACGUAACAUUAAAACAACAAACCACAACUGAGGACAGAAACAACUGAGAUUAAAUAGACAGACACUGAUUACAAAAUACAUGACAGCUGGGUGUAAUGAUGUGAUAAAUGGAUAAUGAGUCCGGCAGUGCGUUAUGGGUAGUGUAGUCAAUGGGGUGAAAACAGUCCAGGAUGGAGUGCCCUCAAGUGGCUAAUUCGGGCACUCUCACUGACGGUCGUGACAGGAGCAAACUGAUUGGUCGGUGGUGUUAAAGAAUGCAUUGUCUUUUUGCACAUUCCAGAUUGUUAAGUUAUGAUUAUUCAAGUUUUAAGAACAUUUUUUGUAAAGAAACAUUUUAGCUAGUGGUCUCUGCCUUUUAGACAUUUUGGAUAUUUUAAUUAACUAACACGAACAAAGAUUAACAAAUACAGUAACAAAUGUAUUUCUCAUGGUUAGUUCAUAAAUGAACCUCAUUGUAAAGUGUUACCACAGAUAAGAUGCUUGAACACAUGUAAGAUCCAGACAGGUGAAACUGAAUAUUUUUGUAAGUUGGAUUCAUAAUGACUUCAUUUGUUUCUUAAAGAAUGAUUCAAUGGUAGAGACAUUUUUAACAGUAAUUUGGCGUAACAAUGCAAUCGAUACAGUCGUUACUUGAAGUCCAGUUACUUUCAGAAGGUAAUUUAUUAUAUUUUGAUUGGUAACAUCAGCGUUUCUAUCUGAAUAAUAAACUUUUGUAUAUUUCUGUUAUAAUUGUAAUAUUUGUCACACAGAAAUAAUGAUACUGUGUGUUUGAAAAGAUUGAUUGUGAAGCUGUGUAUUUAUUUAUUAUUUUUUUAAAUCAAAGGUUUAAUAUACACAGGAAAAUCAUUGUCAUUUAGGAAUUAGAUCUCAGAUUUGAUAUCUGACGUAUAUGAGUAGCGCGAGGGCUUUUCAGUGCAUUCACUGCUAUAAUAUUCAUGAGGUGAGACAUUUCUAUUAAAGGAUACACUCCCAGCACUUCGCCCACCCAUCACACCAAGAACCGUUUUCAGAACCGAAACUUAGAAAUCUUGCACGGUUCUGGUUCUUUUCAAAAAACACUACCGGUUCCAGAUGUGAAAAUAUGAUUUAUCUGUGUAUUUUCUUUAUGGUUCCACAGAAGAACAAGAGAAUGAAGAGACACCGCUAAUCAAUGUAGAUGUUCCUGUUGGAGUGAAUGAGCAGCAGGCGACAAGUUCCAUUUGACAGGGUCUGGCAGGGAUUGUUGGUGAGGGGAGUGAAUAUCCAGUGCUUUCUCCACCCUCAAUACCACGACUGAGGUGAGACUCUUGAGCAAGGCACCGUACCCCUCAACUGCUCCCUGGGCGUCGCAGCAAUGGGUGUGUGUUCACGGCUGUGUGUGUGCACUUGGAUGGGUUAAAUGCAGAGCACAAAUUCUGAGUAUGGGUCACCAUACUUGGCCACGUCACUUCACUUUCACUUUCAGAAAUGUAUUAUACUGUAUGGCCAGAGUGUGUGUUUUAAAUGUGCCUUAAUUUUAAGUGUAUCAAAAUACACUUCUCAGUGAUGAACUGCAAUAAAUCAAACAUGGAUCUUGA